rnacentral:rRNA from 1 species
GACGAACCACACAAACGUUAUUCGGAAUUACUGGGCUUAAAGGGUGCGUAGGCGGCGCGGAAAGUAGGGUGUGAAAUCCCUCGGCUCAACCGAGGAAUUGCGCCCUAAACUACCGUGCUCGAGGGAGAUAGAGGUGAGCGGAACUUAGGGUGGAGCGGUGAAAUGCGUUGAUAUCCUAAGGAACACCGGUGGCGAAGGCGGCAUCCUGGACCAACACUGACGCUGAGUGAGCGAAAGCCAGGGGAGCAAACGGG